AAAAAAAAAAAAAAAACAAUUAAUCACCGAAUUUAUAAACGUUGCUCAGCAUCAUAUAAUCAUAUGAUAUGGCUAGAAACUAGAAACUACAACCCAAACCUAGCUAUGGGUGGGCUAAUGGUUCAUGGAUGCGAUUGAAGGAGGGGACUUGGAACAAGGGGAAUAGUGGGAGCACAUAGGGGAGGCAUCGCCAAGAAACUCCCCCACUUCGUCUUCUGUAAUGUCACACAACUCAAUCAAGGUUUUCCAGAUGGGCUUAGGAAAGGAAAACCAUUGUCUCAAUAAUGGUAAGAAAUUCUUAACCUAGGGCCUAAAUCCAUAAAUACUGAGUAGAGAUCUUUUAUGAGUGAAAUUCUUACCAAACUUGACAUCUCAG
rnacentral:misc_RNA from 1 species